UCCUUGCCAUGCAAACCUGAUGAGACCUACAUUGAAUCUCCAGGAUCCAUGUACAGGUGGCAGGAGAGAUGUGACUCCUUUCUCCUCUAACCCACAUCAUCCACACACUAGCAAUGAUAAUAGUGACAGGAGGACUGUACUGCACACGCAGGUGCAGAAGGACAGACAGAAGCAUUGUAUCUCAUCUGCACCCUGCCCAGGGUAGUAUUUGGGGGCAUGUGAACUAGAUGUGCUACCACCUGUAACCUGAGCCCUGAGGAAGCCAAGCAGGAAGAGUAAGAAUUGAAGGCCAGCCUGGGGUAUAUUGUGAGUCCCUGUUUAAAAAACACAAAACCAAAAGACAGCAUGUAGCUUUUUAAAUUGUUAUCUAAGAGUAUACUAUUUUAUAUACCUAGUGUUUGGAAAUUUAAUUGUUCCUAACCUUUUCCAUUGUCACGUUCAAUCUUGAAAAGAUAAUAUUUUAAUUAAAGUUUUUUUUUUCAUUUGUUCACUUAUAUUUAUUUGUAAAACAUCUGUUCAUAGUGGUUUGGUCACAUUUUAAGAAACCAAAUGUUUUUCUUGCGUCUGCGUUUACCUUUUUACUGUGCUUUGAAGUGUAACAGUGUAAAGGAAUUUAUUUGUAUAAUGUCACCUUAAAGGCUGUGUAAGAGGAAAACCCUUGCCACUCCCAUAGACAUGCAGUGAAGGUGCUCUGCAUUGGUAGUGCCUCUGAUCCUGUCGUCCUGCUGCAUUCGCUGAGCAGCGUGGGUGCAGAAACAGAUUGCCGCUCUGAAAACCAAGGAAUGUGCAUGAAAAUAACAUAGUGCUUGUUUGUUUUAAGAAUAUUCCAAACAGAAACAACAGUUCAUAUUUUCAGAUGUUUUUCUUUGUAUGUGUCAAAAUGGGCACUGUUUGUGGAUCAGUCAACCAGAAUUACUAUUAAACAAUCUUUCAUUG
rnacentral:lncRNA from 1 species